rnacentral:rRNA from 1 species
UAGGGAAUCUUCGGCAAUGGGGGGAACCCUGACCGAGCAACGCCGCGUGAGUGAAGAAGGUUUUCGGAUCGUAAAGCUCUGUUGUUAAGGAAGAACGAGUGUGAGAGUGGAAAGUUCAUACUGUGACGGUACUUAACCAGAAAGGGACGGCUAACUACGUGCCAGCAGCCGCGGUAAUACGUAGGUCCCGAGCGUUGUCCGGAUUUAUUGGGCGUAAAGCGAGCGCAGGCGGUUAGAUAAGUCUGAAGUUAAAGGCAGUGGCUCAACCAUUGUAGGCUUUGGAAACUGUUUAACUUGAGUGCAGAAGGGGAGAGUGGAAUUCCAUGUGUAGCGGUGAAAUGCGUAGAUAUAUGGAGGAACACCGGUGGCGAAAGCGGCUCUCUGGUCUGUAACUGACGCUGAGGCUCGAAAGCGUGGGGAGCGAACAGG